rnacentral:tRNA from 1 species
GGGUUGUGGCUCAGCGGUAGAGUGCUUGCCUAGCACAUGCAAGGCCCUGGGUUCGAUCCUCAGCACCCA